rnacentral:rRNA from 1 species
UACAGAGGGGGCAAGCGUUAUUCGGAAUUACUGGGCGUAAAGCGCGCGUAGGCGGGUCGUUAAGUCGGGGGUGAAAUCCUGGAGCUCAACUCCAGAACUGCCUUCGAUACUGGCGAUCUUGAGUCCGGGAGAGGUGAGUGGAACUCCGAGUGUAGAGGUGAAAUUCGUAGAUAUUCGGAAGAACACCAGUGGCGAAGGCGGCUCACUGGCCCGGUACUGACGCUGAGGUGCGAAAGCGUGGGGAGCAAACAGG